ensembl:lncRNA
UGUGUGGGUUCCAAGCCUGCCCAUGCUGCUUGGGUGACCUUGGAGGAGCUGUUUUCUCAUCUGUAAGAUGGAUGUGAUAACAAUAAGUAACUCCCAAAGCUGUUGGAGUCUUUAAUAACCAUCAUUGUUUCUUGAGCGUGUCCUGUAUAUUGAACACUUUCUGUUUCUAAGCAUUUCAUUUCCACAACAACCCCAAGAAGGUUAUCCGUUUAAGGAAAUUAAGCCACGUGUGAGAAGCCCUUAAGCCUGUGCCUGGCGAUACUAAGACUCAAUCAAGACUACCUAGUAUUUUGUGUCCCCAAAGAGGAUACAAAGUGAAAUCAGCAUGCUUGGGAGCAAAAUAAGUAAUUUAUCAGGAGGAAGGAUAUUUCAAUAUGAGGCAAUCUCCAUGAAUCUUACUUAUGAAGUGAGUUCAUUUGAAUUUGUCAACAAGCUCCUGCUAACUGAAAUCAGCUGGAAAGCCCUAACUUAAGGUUAUAAUUAAAGGGCAAAUUAAAAACCGUGCCAGCAGGUUCAGUGGUGCAGAGGGCGUGUAGACUCACUUUUUCUUCCUAACGUCCUUAAUGUACCUGAGAGUGGAGUGGAGGAGAAUGGUGGAAAAGCAGCGACCCAGUGUUUUGUGGCCAGUGUGUGACGCAGACAGCAAUGGAGCAUGCUGUCUCUUCCCUCUGCCUGAAAUGCUCUCACAACUCACCUGCCCAUCUUCAUCUGGCCAAUUCCUUCUUUUCCUUCAGAUCUCAAUCUGGACGUCACUUCCUCAACUCUGAAGACAGUGAUGCGGGGAAUCUUCAGGGAUGCUCCUCCACUCAGCCUCAAUCCAUCAGGACACUGUGAUUUCAGGGAUUGUCGGGAAGGACUCUGUCCUAAGAGGCCCAGAGUCUUGGAUUCUGAGCAAACCUGCCUACCACCGCUGGGCCACCGCUGGGCCACCGCUGGAAGACUGGCAGCUCUCCUUCCUCCCUUCCGCCGAGAAUGAAGCUUCCUCUCCACCAGAAAACCGCUACAGCAAAAACACACUAGGAAUCCUCAAUUUGGGAGUCCCUGGAACUAGAAUGAAUUUCUCUAGGUCAGAGGUCAGCAAGCAUUUUCUACACAAGAUCAGGUAGUAACUAUUUUAGGCUUUUACGACAGAGAACCAUAUAGUCUCUGUCACGACUAUUCAAUUUAGCCAUCAUCGUGCGAGAAAAAGUGUGGACAAUACUGAACAAAUAAAUGUGGCUGGAUUUGACCUGUGGGCUGUGGUUUGUCAACUCCUGUUCUAGAGCCUAAAACUGAAUCCUCACUAAUGGCCAGUUCAGUGCACGAAGAGCAUAAUUUUGCUCUUUUUUUCAGUUUUAUAUUCACCUGGACUACUUUUUGCUGUGUCUUCACCUCCAAUAUUCAAACAGCCGCCUACCAGCAGUUCUGUGACAAGACCUAGGAAUCUGCAGAGAAUGAAGUAUCUGGGCUUUGUUCAAGACAGCCGCGUGUCUGUGGAGUUUGACCUGUCAUUCGACCAUGUCUAGGUGUGUCAGUGUGGGCAAGUCUACUCACUCAACUCCGGAAGAAGGGCCUGUGGGACACUGUGUCUUUCAGGAUUCCUCUCCCGUUUACUCAAGGACAGGACUUUAGUCCUCAUCAAGGGAAGCCAACAUCUUUAAAUAACUGGCAGUAAAAGUGACACCAUAUACCUGCGUCACUGGUAUAGUCCGUGUGAAAUAAGGCCUGUGCUCUCACAUAGGAAAUGUCCCUGGACUAAGAGCCAGUCCUCUGUGCCCCAAAUCCCACCACUGCCAGAGGGCUACCGUCUGCGUGUUCACCCUCUGUGAUUCCGUUCCCCUAACUUUCAGUGUAGCUUCUAAUUAAAAAAAGGAUAGCUAUCCUAAUAUAGUGUAGAGCUGAAGAAAAAGGGUGCAAAAUUGUAGGUGAUGUCACCUAAGGGUUUUCUAAAAUUACGUAUAUUUAUAUUUGUUCCAGGAUUCCUCCCUCCCUCCCUCCCGUCCUUGUUUCCUUCCCUCCUUCCUUUUCUCCCCUCUCUCUUUCUUUCUCUCUUUUUUGUAUUAAUAAUCUCCUACUUCUUUCUAAGAUGGUAUAUCCUAGGGACCAGAGGGUCCUUUUCCCACCUAAUUAUGGGAUAGGUGUGGGAAUAUCAGCUUGAAAGAAUGAAAGGUGAGCUAAAUUGCUCUACCUAAGAAAAGAAACAUGGAGAAGCCAAGAGAAGGACCUGGACAAGGGGAGGCUGGUGCCAUGGGAAAUGAAGUUGGGCAGGGUGUUGAGAGGGAGGCUAAAGAGAGGAGACAUACUGAGGUGGGGACAAUGAUGGUGAGUGCUGUGGUGAGCAAGAUGAGAACUGUCUUCCAUCUCCUCUUUGGAAUCUUCAGGAACAUCUUCAGUCUAAUGCCUUGUGGGGUUGAGUUUUUGUUCUUUGAGUUUAUAAAGAAGCAAGACAGUACAGUGUGAAGACAGAUCUCCUCACCAGGAGACAGUCAAUGUGCUCUCUCUCACGCAUACACGCUUCCUUGUUUAUACAUUUUAUGUAUUAUGGGAAAAUUUUCCUUAUGUAGAUGUGCAAUGUAUGACAGAACAGACCAAAAUCUGAACAGUUGUUAAUUCUUCAUGGUGGGAUUGCCAAUCAGUUUUACUUGUAAUGCUUUUUUUGUAUUAUCUAAAUUUUGUAUAAGGAAUAAACUUUAAUUUUAU